AACCUACCUUUAAGUGGGGGAUAACUAGCCGAAAGGUUAGCUAAUACCGCAUACGAUCGUUGAGGGGCAUCUCUUGGCGAUGAAAGGAGCAAUCCGCUUAAAGACGGGACUGCGUCCCAUUAGCUAGUUGGCGGGGUAAUGGCCCACCAAGGCUCCGAUGGGUAGCUGGCUUGAGAGAGCGACCAGCCACACUGGAACUGAGACACGGUCCAGACUCCUACGGGAGGCAGCAGUGAGGAAUUUUCCGCAAUGGACGAAAGUCUGACGGAGCGACGCCGCGUGUGGGAAGAAGGCCUUCGGGUCGUAAACCACUGUCCAGGGGGACGAUACUGACGGUACCCCU
rnacentral:rRNA from 1 species